rnacentral:rRNA from 1 species
AACGAACGCUGGCGGCAUGCCUAAUACAUGCAAGUCGAACGAGAUCUUCGGAUCUAGUGGCGCACGGGUGCGUAACGCGUGGGAAUCUGCCCUUGGGUUCGGAAUAACUUCUGGAAACGGAAGCUAAUACCGGAUGAUGACGUAAGUCCAAAGAUUUAUAGCCCAAGGAUGAGCCCGCGUAGGAUUAGGUAGUUGGUGAGGUAAAGGCUCACCAAGCCGACGAUCCUUAGCUGGUCUGAGAGGAUGAUCAGCCACACUGGGACUGAGACACGGCCCAGACUCCUACGGGAGGCAGCAGUAGGGAAUAUUGGACAAUGGGCGAAAGCCUGAUCCAGCAAUGCCGCGUGAGUGAUGAAGGCCUUAGGGUUGUAAAGCUCUUUUACCCGGGAUGAUAAUGACAGUACCGGGAGAAUAAGCUCCGGCUAACUCCGUG